GACGGAAGGUGCAAGCGUUGCUCGGAAUCACUGGGCGUAAAGAGCGCGUAGGCGGCCCAGUAAGUCCGCUCUGAAAGUCAGAGGCUCAACCUCUGAAUGCGGGUGGAUACUGCUGGGCUAGAGUCCGGAAGAGGCGAGUGGAAUUCCUGGUGUAGCGGUGAAAUGCGCAGAUAUCAGGAGGAACACCGAUGGCGAAGGCAGCUCGCUGGGACGGUACUGACGCUGAGGCGCGAAAGCGUGGGGAGCAAACAGG
rnacentral:rRNA from 1 species